rnacentral:RNase_P_RNA from 1 species
GAGUCGGUCAGGCGGUUGCGGUAUCGUUAUGAUGCUGAGGAAAGUCCGAGCCCCACAGGGCAGAAUAGCGGCUAACGGCCGCCGAGGGUGACCUUAGGGAAAGUGCAACAGAGAUAUACCGCCGCUUAUGCGGUAAGGGUGGAAAGGCGAGGUAAGAGCUCACCGGUCUUGCGGAGACGCCAAGAUCCUGUAAACCCUAUUCGGAGCAACGCUGACUGCAACUAUACACCUGCCCGGUGUGUUGCGAAAAGCGGCUGGAACUGUAGAGCAAUUUGCAGUCAAGACAGAUAACCGUCCACGACAGAACUCGGCUUAUCGACCGACUCGC